CCAGGUUAUUAGCUCAAUUAGUAACCACCAGAAAAUAAUAAUAAUAAUCAUUAUUCUCAGUACAAGUUCUGAAAUUUCUUGAAUUUUGUCAAUUUCACUGGUAACCGCUAAAUCUGAAUCAAGUUCGAUCCCAAGUACAUACAACACUCCACACAACAGUAAUUCAAAAAGAUGCAGCUACAUGCUGGAAGCUGUUUAUGUU
rnacentral:lncRNA from 1 species